GGCAUGUGGACAUGUUUUUAUUGGUCGCAUUCGUGUGACAUGCCCCUUACACCCAACAACCAUUCAUCUGAUGGACAUUGCCUGCUGCCCUGAGUGUCAAGGUGACAACUUCAGAAAGCUCACCUGACAGAAAGUAAAAUCUGAGUUGUAUGCAACUUCCUGCCAUGUGAAUGCCGAGUUGUAUACUUCAGUUCGUACAACUGAUUACAUACAACAAGUUGUACCAAACAGUUGUACUGUGUGAAUACCAUUAAGUCAUAAACUUGUCAGUGAGUCUUGUCUUUACUUCCAAACUGAUGAAUACAAAUUGAAGUAAGCUAGCAAUUAGGAUACCAAAGAAAACAGUCUCAAGGAAACAACCUGACAUCGCAAAAGCAUCCAUAAAACAUAAACCUUCUGAGAGCUUUUCAUUAAUGUUAACAUUAGCUGUCAAUAUAUUAUCAAUUAUUGAUCAAUUGAUGAUGUUAAUUAUCAAUCACAAAAUGAAAAAUCAUUUCUGAGCACUACCCACUGUCUUGUGGCAUCAAGUUAUCUUUAUAGGUUGGGGAGCAGUGGAAAGUGGUAAACAACUCUCAUUAGGAUGGUCCAGGUCCAAGUAUCACUAUCCUACACCUCGGGAUAAAGGAGAAAAUACCAAAACUAGUUCAAGCAGGUCAAAGCUGUGCAUGGACUGCGGGGCAAGUGUGGAAGCCAAUUUGCCAAGUGUGUUAGCUACCCGUUGGCCUGUCAAACCAUUGCUUCGGAUGUGGAGGUAAUGGUAAGGGACCUACAGUCUUUCCUAACAAGGACUUUUUUGUGCCAGACUACUUACAAGUACAUGACUCUCAGUUACCCCAACACUGACCUUUGCAAUAGAAAUACUUUUGCACUUUUACUGUGCUUUUAAUUAUCUUCUCCUCUGAUUCUGCUUGACUGAUGAAACUAAAAUUUAAUAUGUUAGAUUCCUUCUCAUGAAGAAAUCUAAUUCAUAUUCAUUUCAUUGUGUGUUAUUUUAAGUUUUUGCUUCAGAUAUUAUUAAAAUCUAAUUUAUCAAAAGGAUUUAGAAUCUUAUUUUUGUAAUAACCAGAUUGUGGAGGAAACGUCAUUGUCAUAAACUGUGUUUGUAAGAUAUGUUGUGUGAUCUUUUUCAUAGUUUAGUGCAGCAAUUUGUCAUUAGCUCACUAAUAAUAUGUCAUGAAAAUAUGGUUGAAGCAUCAUAAAAUUAUUUCUUCAUAUAUCAGGUGAGCUACAGAGCCUUGUUGCUCUAUUAUUCAUUUAUCAGUAUCAUAUCAGCAAAAUAUAAUGAAGCAGCAAUUUUACCACACUUUGCCAAAGUAUCCAUUUUCACAUUAUUUCUACUGAUAUUAUUUUUGUUCAACUUUACAAUAAAAGGAACAUUUAUAACAAGUUAUUUUGUCAUCUAUACAUAUAUAUUUUUUAUUUUUAUUUUUUUGUGCUUUUUGUGGUACAUUAAGCACUUGAUUUAUUAGCUAACUUGUAUGCAAUUGCAAGUGUUUGGACAAUACAAUUGACAAAUAUAUAUGUUUUUAAAAACACAUUUGGUCCUUUGUAUAGUUCUUCAAAGGUCAGUGACCUUUUUCUGAAUAAUAGUUUUGACAGAUAUCAAUGGAUUGGGACCAAAGAUCUUCUGUGGAUAGUCUUUUGUGAGGAGAAGACAGUCAAGUUUGAUCAUUGACAGUUAAAAAGAACUGUCUGUAAUAGACCGAUCCAGGCCCGACCGAUAAGCCCCGCCCACAAGCUGCCGUCCUCGUUUUAGGGGGGACAGCCGCUGGCUAUUCGCUAUGGCGUCACAGCCGGCGAAACUUGAAUGAGCAGGGGAUGAAUUUGGCUCAGAAUGCUUUGUUACCGGUCGUGUGUCAAAAAUAUCUAAAGAGAGUUAUACAUGAUCUGUUUUGGGUUCCAUUUUAGUUGUCAAAUUGCAUAUCAGAGUGAGAAUGAGUCAAAAGUCCGAUGCAAUGGUGUAUCGGUCAAUGAGGAAGUCACCAUGGCUGCUGAAAGUUAGAAGUGUGCACUACUUCAAAGCACUCAUGUCAGGCAGAGCAUACUAUAUUGUCAAUAAUAAAUUAUUCAUCCAAGGGCGGAGUAACUAAAUUUGGGUUAAAAUUUCCAUCGUAAUUUAAGUGUAUGGAAAGUACUGGAAACCGUAAACACAAGCACAACGAAGUUACAAAUCAUGUGGAUAUCUAUAAAUAGAUUGUCAACAGUUGCAUUGCCCAUGUUUUUUGUCUGGUGCUCUACGUAAAACCAAUAUAACCUAAAAGGCUUAGAGUUAGUGUACGUUAUUUCCCCACACUCCUACAUUGGUUUUUAUUAUAUAAUAAAUGAAUCAUAACAUACAUUUUAUUUGGGCAUCUGGAACAUGGGGUUGGGCAUGUCACCAGGGAUAAAUCUAGACCUGCUCAGAGGCUGAUAUUCAGCUCCAAAUCUGCAUCAGAUGUAAGUAAACUGUCCCCCUUCAAACGUUUUAACAUAUCUAUGCCAUUAAAACAAAGCAUAAUGUAAGGAAUUUAUGUUAUUUUCUUUUUCUCCGAUCUCUCUGCCAAGCGCACUUAGUUUGGAAUUCUAAAUUUAGAUAAAAAUCCCUGAUCACACUUCCAGAAUAUUGGACUAAAUAAACUGCCAGUAUUUAGGUACAUGGAUGUGAGAACAGUUGAAAACAUUGAGAAGAUCCAAGAUAAAAUGAGCACCUGUAACUGCCAUGGUUAUAUCAAAUCAAUGGGAUCCAUGUUCCAGAAAAGGGAAACCUGCCACGGUAAAAGUAUCUGAAGACAGGGUCUGCA